AACGAACGCUGGCGGCAUGCCUAACACAUGCAAGUCGAACGAGACCUUCGGGUCUAGUGGCGCACGGGUGCGUAACGCGUGGGAACCUGCCCUUAGGUUCGGAAUAACUCCCCGAAAGGGGUGCUAAUACCGGAUAAUGUCUUCGGACCAAAGAUUUAUCGCCUUUGGAUGGGCCCGCGUUGGAUUAGCUAGUUGGUAGGGUAAAAGCCUACCAAGGCGACGAUCCAUAGCUGGUCUGAGAGGAUGAUCAGCCACACUGGGACUGAGACACGGCCCAGACUCCUACGGGAAGCAGCAGUGGGGAAUAUUGGACAAUGGGCGGAAGCCUGAUCCAGCAAUGCCGCGUGAGCGAUGAAGGCCUUAGGGUUGUAAAGCUCUUUUACCCGGGAUGAUAAUGACAGUACCGGGAGAAUAAGCUCCGGCUAACUACGUG
rnacentral:rRNA from 1 species